rnacentral:rRNA from 1 species
UACGUAGGGUGCAAGCGUUGUCCGGAAUUAUUGGGCGUAAAGAGCUCGUAGGCGGUUUGUUGCGUCGGCUGUGAAAUCCCGAGGCUUAACCUCGGGUCUGCAGUCGAUACGAGCAAACUAGAGUGUUGCAGGGGAGACUGGGAUUCCUGGUGUAGCGGUGAAAUGCGCAGAUAUCAGGAGGAACACCGGUGGCGAAGGCGGGUCUCUGGGCAACAACUGACGCUGAGGAGCGAAAGCGUGGGGAGCGAACAGG